CUCUUUUUCUGUCUCUAUCUAUUCCCCUUAUUUAUGUCAGCGUAUAUAUAUCUGACAAUAAUGUCUUAAUCUCUUUGGUGGUGAUCUGGGUUUGAUAGGGUUUUGAUGAGUACAUGAAUUUGGUUCUGGAUGAGGCCGAAGAAGUCAGCAUCAAGAAAAACACCAGAAAGUCAUUAGGAAGGAUUCUUCUUAAAGGAGACAACAUAACUCUGAUGAUGAACACGGGAAAAUGAUGGCCAAUCUAGCAAAUGCAUGAACUAAGGCUACAGUGUGUUUUCAUUGUGAUGGAGGUUGAGCUCUUUAGAUUUACUGCUUUUCUAAAACAAAUAUACGUUGGAUGUUAUUUAUGAGUAGUGCAGAAUUCUUUAAACUUUGUGUUUAUAUUUGAUCCCUGUUGUUAGGCUUUCUACGAAAAAACCUUGUAUGUGGAUUUCUUGGUGGUUUGUGUAAUGCUUGUAAGUUUUUGUAGUUCAGUUCAACCAUGUCAGAUUGCCAAUCA